CGGAGGAUCCAAGCGUUAUCCGGAAUCAUUGGGUUUAAAGGGUCCGUAGGCGGUUUAGUAAGUCAGUGGUGAAAGCCCAUCGCUCAACGGUGGAACGGCCAUUGAUACUGCUAAACUUGAAUUAUUAGGAAGUAACUAGAAUAUGUAGUGUAGCGGUGAAAUGCUUAGAGAUUACAUGGAAUACCAAUUGCGAAGGCAGGUUACUACUAAUGGAUUGACGCUGAUGGACGAAAGCGCGGGUAGCGAACAGGAUUAGAUACCCUGGUAGUCCACGCCGUAAACGAUGGAUACUAGCUGUUGGGGGCAACUUCAGUGGCUAAGCGAAAGUGAUAAGUAUCCCACCUGGGGAGCACGUUCGCAAGAAUG
rnacentral:rRNA from 1 species